rnacentral:rRNA from 1 species
UGGGGAAUCUUGCGCAAUGGCCUAACGGCUGACGCAGCGACGCCGCGUGAGGGAUGAAGCUCCUCGGAGUGUAAACCUCUGUUGCUCGGGACGAAUGGCGGAUUUUUCCGACGUGACGGUACCGAGUGAGGAAGCACCGGCUAACUCCGUGCCAGCAGCCGCGGUAAUACGGGGGGUGCGAGCGUUGUCCGGAAUCACUGGGCGUAAAGGGCGCGUAGGUGGUCUGGUAAGUUUGCGGUGAAAGCCCGGGGCUCAACCCCGGGUCUGCCGCGAAUACUGCGAGACUUGAGUACUGUAGAGGCUGGUAGAAUGCCGGGUGUAGCGGUGGAAUGCGUAGAGAUCCGGCAGAAGACCGGUGGCGAAGGCGGCCAGCUGGGCAGUGACUGACACUGAGGCGCGACAGCGUGGGGAGCAAACAGGAUUAGAUACCCCCGUAGUCC